UGUAGUAAUACAAGGCAGACGGCUCAGUAACGCGUAGUCAACCUACCCUAUGGACGGGGAUAACCUCGGGAAACUGAGAAUAAUACCCGAUAGAACAUUAUGCCUGGAAUGGUUUAUGUUUCAAAUAAUUUAUUGCCGUAGGAUGGGACUGCGGCCUAUCAGUUUGUUGGUGAGGUAAUGGCCCACCAAGACUAUUACAGGUACGGGCUCUGAGAGGAGUAGCCCGGAGAUGGGUACUGAGACACGGACCCAGGCCCUAUGGGGCGCAGCAGGCGAGAAAACUUUGCAAUGUGCGAAAGCACGACAAGGUUAAUCCGAGUGGUUUCUGCUAAAGGAACCUUUUGUCAGUCCUAGAAACACUGAUGAAUAAGGGGUGGGCAAGUUCUGGUGUCAGCCGCCGCGGUAAAACCAGCACCUCAAGUGGUCAGGAUGAUUAUUGGGCCUAAAGCAUCCGUAGCCUGCUUUGUCAGUUUUCGGUUAAAUCCAUACGCUCAACGUAUGGGCUGCCGGGAAUACUGCAAAGCUAGGGAGUGGGAGAGGUAGACGGUACUCGGUAGGAAGGGGUAAAAUCCUUUGAUCUAUUGAUGACCACCUGUGGCGAAGGCGGUCUACCAGAACACGUCCGACGGUGAGGGAUGAAAGCUGGGGGAGCAAACCGGAUUAGAUACCCGGGUAGUCCCAGCUGUAAACUAUGCAAACUCAGUGAUGCAUUGGCUUGAUGCCAAUGCAGUGCUGCAGGGAAGCCGUUAAGUUUGCCGCCUGGGAAGUACGUACGCAAGUAUGAAACUUAAAGGAAUUGGCGGGGGAGCACCACAAGGGGUGAAGCCUGCGGUUCAAUUGGA
rnacentral:rRNA from 1 species